GGUCAUCUUUGGUCCAGCCUUCAGAGCCAGGCCACACCCUGGACUGGUCUCUGAUUAUAUGUUAUUGUGGGCAUCACAAUCCAGCCACUGUCUUGGACAGACCAUCACCUCAUUAAGGCAUUGGUCGGAGCUCUCCCAGUUCCCAGGCAGCAAGACCCAUGAUCCUGAUUUGACCUGGAGACUCUUUAGUCUCCAUAAAACUCCAAAGCAUGCUAACAGACAGCAGCACUCCGCAACAGGACAAGGAGUCAAGGACCUGGUGAAUCAUCACUAUUGUACGCUAGCCUCACUCAUUGACACACUGGCUCUGGGGGUCUCUUCUCCAUAUUGCCCACAUGAUCGCCUUGGUUUUCUAAUGUUCUGCACUGGAUGAAGAAAGAGGACUGGAAACUCAUGUGCCAAUGAUGGUAAAAGAGAGGCUGAAACAGGAAGGUUCAAACAUGGAAACUAUGUUAGUGGCACUGAUGGAUGAUCUCUUGCUGUGAAUGGAUUGUGGAUGGAUAAUGUCAUCCUUUGGGACAAUUCUGCAGCAUUCAAUACUGUUGAUGAUGAGAUACUGCUGUUCUACCAGAGAAAGGUAGCAUGGAUCCAUGGGAAUGUACUAAAAAGUUUUAAGUCUUUCCUGGAGUGAUGCAUCCAAAGAGUAGUGAUAGGAAUCUUUGCCACGAGACCCCUCACUUGUUGAGUCCCAAAAGGAUCAGUUCUCUCUCUAGUCCUCUUCCAUGUUUUCAUGCAAACACCAGGUGAACUGGUCAGAUGACAUGGAAUCAAGUGUCAAGUAAUAUACAGAAGACACACAGAGCUCUACCGAUCCUUCACAACAUUUGACCACAACAUUAUCAUCAAGAAUGCCCAGUGCUUGAACCAGAUUGGUUCAUGGAUGAAGAACAGGUGGUUGAAGCGGAACCUGAGCAAGAUGGAGAUGAUAUUGGUGGGCAGAGGAAAGAACUUAGAUUUUGCAGCUGCAGUGAAGUCUCAUUUGGUUGAAGGCAUACACCCACAAUUGGUCUAUUCAGUCUGUAAAUUAAGAGUGUUUUGUGGAUUCCUUGGAAGCAUCUGCAAAUAACACUUUCUACUAUCUCUGUUCCCAUGGUAAUGGAUGAUGGACUUUGUAACCUCACAGCUGGACUAUACCAAUGCAGUAUAUCUGGGCAUGGAGUCAACAGCUUUAAGGAAACUCCAACUAAUACAGAACUCUGCAGUGGUUUUCCUUGGCAACACAGAUUGCCACAAGCACAUCAAGACUCCUCCAUCCUCUACACUGACUUCCACAGAAUAUUGAGUCAAGUUCAAGGUCUCACCUCUUUUACUUCGGGUUGCUCAAUGGCCUGGUUCAGGGUAUCUAGCAGUUUCCAUACAGCUAUUGAAUGAAGACUAUGAUUGACAUCUCUGCUCCUCAGGCAUUAUGGAACUUUCUACUGUAUGGGUAAAGUUUGUUUGUACAGGAGACAGAACUUUUUUUGAGGUCUGGUCUGAAACUGUGGUCUGAGGUCCUUAGUUCUCGUGGGAGUUAUCCCAAACCUCACCAUCUUUUGCUCUAACUACAAGGUACACUUCUUCAACAUGCCUUCUUUCAUAUAAACACAUAACAGUAUGUAUAUUUAAAGCAAAACUCCACCAAAAGAAAACAUUCUAAUUCUUCCUCUGGGGGAAGAGAAAACACACCACAUGUGACAGAUAUUAGUCAGAUUGCUUAAUGCCAUACUUGAAGCCGCUGAGAUAUCAUGUUGAUGAGGUUGGUCUAAGAACCCAUCUGGAAUGGAAUGGAAUUUUGAAUGUGAAAAGGACAUAAAGCAAAAGUUCGUAGGCCAGAGGGGGAAAACAAGGAAAGAAUUAAGUAAGUAAUAAUUAAAAUUAUGGAGUAAAGUAUGAAAAUAGAAGGAAGAGGGAACAAAAUCUAAGAAAGGAGAGAAAUGAAAGAUGUUGGUAGAAAAAGUAAUGAAAUUUAAAAUACUACAGAAUUAGGGAAAAUACAGAUUAAGGUGUAGGACAGGAAAAGAUGGACAAGAGUAAAACUAAGGAAAGUUAAAUGAGUGAAAAGAGAGAGAUGAACAUACCAGACAUAGGGGCAGCUGAUUAUCGACUGUCUUGCACCUCGUGUAGUCAUUUGCCUCUAUACAAAGUGAGUGUAAAAAGAUUUAGAAUUUGCCACUCAUACUGGUAUAGUGUUUUAAAUCCACUUUUCACUCAUUUUUCACUGCUGUAAAUUACUACACAAGAUACAAGGCAGUGGAGAAUCACACCUGGCAAGUUUCGUUCUGUUUUACAACAUUUUUUAUCUGAUUAAAAUAAUAUUUGCUUACAUACAUUUCUGGUAUGUUGAGUCUGGUUGGUAACAUCAUGAGUUACAUUCUAGCAUUUUAUUGUUCAAUCUUUUAAACUUAAAACUCCUCUUGGUUUUUAUUUUGUCACUGUAGUAGACAUUGUAUGUCACUUUGAAAGAAAAUACGUUUUUGUGAUAUUUUGGAGUGCAUUUUCUUGUUCCUCGUAUUAAGUCUACAGAAUGUACCUGUUUUAUUUGCCCACUUGCCUGCUGCUGGAGGGACAUGCACUGUUCAUCACUGUUUGGCAUCUAUGAAUGCUAAUUCUUGGCAACUGGAGGAGGAACAGGUCUGUACUUGACCAACUCUUUGACUCAUGGUUUACAUUCUUUGUGACGUGAAUUGCUUUUCCUCAACAGCUUUUGUUCGAUUUCUGUGUUGGUAUGACUGUUUGAGUCCUGUGCUGGAAGCCUGUUGUACGCAAUGCGUGAGGCUGCUGCUCACAAGUAUUUUUUUCUGGUCUGCUGGAGAUCUCUUAGAGUAUGUCUUUACUACCAACGUUAAAAGUGCUGCCAUGGCAGCUGUGUAGUAAAAAAACCCACCCCCAUGAUGGGAGUAGCUCCCAGUGCUCUGAGCGCUAUAGCACUGUCUACACUGCCACUUUACAGCGCUGAAACUUGCAUCGCUCAGGGUGUGUUUUUUCACACCCCUAAGCGAGAAAGUUUCGGUGCUGUAAAGUGGCACUGCAGACAAGGCCUUAGUUUCUGCAGCAUUUAAGCUGCCAUUUAAAGGGAGGGGGAGUGGAGGAGAAGGCAUUUCUAGCUCAUGUGGUUGUGAAUGUGACGCAGAUUGUGUGAUUGAUUUUGCAGAUGCGUAGUUGCAAUUAGCUAAGUUAUGUCCUUACUCAGAUGAUCUGAUCUGUAUAUAUUCAGAAUACUAUUUGAUUCUUUUUCUUACAAAAAUAAAAUAUUUCACACUACCCAGCCAGCAUACCUGUGGGAGAGUGCAGUAUGGCUCUGACAUCAUCCGUGGAAUUGUUUACACAGUCUUCAUUAUGGGUGACAAUACAUGAACUAGAAAGAGCAGAGCAUUUACUUCUGAUUUUGAUAAGUUUUCACGUAAAGUUACAAAAAGCCCUCUUUUUUUUUUAGUUGUAGACUGUGCAAAUUUAAUAUGGAAGUUUACUGUGAGAAAGUAAGCAUGGUGCUUCAUAGUGACAAUUUUCCAGAGUAUAAGCAAAAUGUAAGGUUGAGAUACUGUGCUGUCUCCAAGAGGUGCAGCACAGACCUCCCAGUCUAAGGAGAGGGAGUCGGGAACCGUGCUGACAUCGCUUUAAGCCAUCUUCAUGCCCUCCUGAUCUGGGGCUGCUCUGGGAUUGGAGAAGACCCCAGUGUAAUUUAGAUGGUCUUGGGGGCCUGUCUAAAUGAUAGCAGUUGCAGCACUGCCUAGCCAACGUCAGCAGCAAUUUGCGCGGCAGCCCUAUCUCUGUUUUGCCACUCUCAUCCCUACCAUCAUCUUGAGUCUUUUUUUAGGACUUACUUUGGUUAGAUGUUGCGUUGGUCAUGAGUACUAGGUUGGUGCCAUUGACUUUGGUUUUGAGAAAAUGUGCACCCGUCCUUACCCCACAAAUUGACCUAGAUUUUGCGUGCAGUGUUGUUUUAGCCAUCUUGGUCCCAGGAUGUCAGAGAGAGAAGAUGGGUGAGGAAACAUCUUUCACUGGGACAACUUCUGUUGAUGAGAGAAACAAGCGAACAGAUCAUGAGAAAUGGGGAGCACUCCUUAAGAUCUCACACUGACACCUGCAGAGGAAGAGUAGCAUUGUGUUCAAGCACAACAGCACUUUUCCCAUGGCUCCUAUUGUGACUGAAUUUGAGUAAGAUUAUGUAACCAUAGUCAAUUUCACUCUGCAGCAGUGCUGCAGGUAAAGUACAAAUAGGCAAAAGGGUAGCACUAGUCUUUCUCUGUAGAUUUUGUUACUUGAAAAUUUGCAAUUACAGAAAUACUAUUUAAUGAUAUGACAUAUGGAGUGUUAUUACAAACCUUAUCUAUGUGCUUUAAAUUCUGAUAAAUCUUCAUAUGCCUUGAAAUAUUGUGUUUAAUUUCCUCUCUUGGAGAAGAGAAUGAAUUUUAAUAAGCAAGGCAAGCUAUAGCAGCUAUAAAAUUUUUCUAAUAAAAAUGCAAUUUCCAUAGCAUUGAGAAAAUUGGAUUUGUGGUGAUUUUUUUUUCUCUAGCCAAUAUUUUGUGAAAUGAUUUUGGAAAAAGACAGCCAUAUGUUUGCUUAAGCUUUCAAUAGAGACACUCUGUUUCCACUGUUUUGUAGGACUGUGAAAUGCUUCACUGCUUGGGUCCAUCUGCCCAACAUACUGCAAUAUUUGCUUUUCUGUAGCUUACAUAACAUUAGACUCUGUUCCUCCUGAUAGAGAGUAAAUAGCUGUGUGUAGUCUUGCAUGCCUGUUUUCACAUAAUUGUGUAAACCAAAAACUGCGCUUGAGAUGUACAGAGAUACUUAGCAUUCCUUAUUAGCUAAUGCGUAAACAUAAUUAAAAUAGUGGUUUUAAAGGUCUGACUGAAAUAUAUAAAAGGCAGAAAAUGCAAAGUCCAGGCUAAAACUCACUACUUCUGUGUCAAACAGUUGUGGCUGGGUAUUUCAGCUCCUAUGGUAUGUGAAAUCACCCAGUGCUCUGUGAGCCCUUGACAGGAGCCAGCUGUCUCAAAUGCAACAUCUAGACUCAAGGGAAUAAGCUAAAGUCAGAGUGUGAGUCUGUAAGUCCUGGCUCUAGAUUUCUGUCAUUUGUUUAGUUUCCUUUUUAGUUAGUGUUCCUUUUUUUGUUAGUUUCAGGGGGAAGAGAGAGGGCAGGGGACUUUGUGAAGGCUUUAAUAUUUACCAGAUACCUUUGAAAAGCCUUCUCAUGACCCAUUAAGGUCAUGCAGAUCUGCAUAUGGGUGUUUCCAGGUCUGUACCCUUUCAUUUUAAAAAGCAAUUGAAAGGCCUGGAUUAUCUUAAAGCAACAGCAAAAAGCAACAUCUGCAGGAAGAUUAUAAAUGUUAAUAAUUAAAUAGACUAAGUUUAUACCUACUAGAGAACGUUUUAAUACUUUUUGCUGAAGUGUUCUGGGUUAGCUUAAGAUGGCUUCUGUGAAGAUGGAAAAUUUUGGUUGCAGCUGUAGAUAGAAAAAGGAAAUGGUUGGGUGUAAUGAUAUUUAACAAGAAUGUAACUUCCUAUUACUCUGAGUUUUGCAGGCCCAUUGUGUUUCCUGUCAAUAACCUCCUCCCCCAUUCUUUCAAGUGAGGAGCUAGUUAUUGUGUGCAAGAUGAAUAUUAAAAUGCACUUAUGCAUGAAAGUGAAAUACUUGAAGUAGGGCUGCUGAAUUGCCAAAAAUGGGCCGUUCUACACAGGGGAAAGUUUUAAAUAAACUCUGCUGAUGAAAGACUUUUGGUCAACAUUCCCCCAACUUUUGGUCAACCUUCCCCCAAUCACUAAUAAAAUUAUGUAUAACUUA